rnacentral:rRNA from 1 species
GAAACGAUCGUUAAUACCGCAUAACAUAAUUGAACCGCAUGAUUUGAUUAUCAAAGAUUUAUUGCUGAAAGAUGAGCUCGCGUCUGAUUAGCUAGUUGGUAAGGUAACGGCUUACCAAGGCGACGAUCAGUAGCCGGACUGAGAGGUUGAUCGGCCACAUUGGGACUGAGACACGGCCCAGACUCCUACGGGAGGCAGCAGUGGGGAAUAUUGCACAAUGGAGGAAACUCUGAUGCAGCGAUGCCGCGUGAGGGAAGAAGGUUUUAGGAUUGUAAACCUCUGUCUUCAGGGACGAAAAAUGACGGUACCUGAGGAGGAAGCUCCGGCUAACUACGUGCCAGCAGCCGCGGUAAUACGUAGGGAGCGAGCGUUGUCCGGAAUUACUGGGUGUAAAGGGAGCGUAGGCGGGAUCGCAAGUCAGAUGUGAAAACUAUGGGCUUAACCCAUAAACUGCAUUUGAAACUGUGGUUCUUGAGUGAAGUAGAGGUAAGCGGAAUUCCUAGUGUAGCGGUGAAAUGCGUAGAUAUUAGGAGGAACAUCAGUGGCGAAGGCGGCUUACUGGGCUUUAACUGACGCUGAGGCUCGAAAGCGUGGGGAGCAAACAGGACUAGAUACCCUGGUAGUCCACGCCGUAAACGAUGAUUACUAGGUGUGGGGGGACUGACCCCUUCCGUG